rnacentral:rRNA from 1 species
CCUACGGGAGGCAGCAGUGGGGAAUAUUGCACAAUGGGGGAAACCCUGAAGCAGCGACGCCGCGUGAAGGAUGAAGGUUUUAGGAAUGUAAAGCUCUUUUAGCAGGGAAGAAAAUGACGGUACCUGAUGAAUAAGCACCGGCUAACUACGUGCCAGCAGCCGCGGUAAUACGGAGGGGGCAAGCGUUAUCCGGAUUUACUGGGCGUAAAGGGUGCGUAGACGGCAUGGUAAGUCAGAAGUGAAAUGCUGCGGCUUAACCGCAGAACUGCAUUGGAAACUGUGAGUCUAGAGUGCAGGAGAGGUAGGUGGAAUUCCUGGUGUAGCGGUGAAAUGCGUAGAUAUCAAGAGGAACACCAAUGGCGAAGGCGGCUUACUGGACUGUAACUGACGCUGAGGCUCGAAAGCGUGGGGAGCAAACAGGAUUAGAUACCCGGGUAGUC